GUGCGAAAGCGUGGGAGCAAACGGGAUAGAUACCCCGGUAGUGCACGCGUAAACGAUGUCUACUAGCCGUUGGAGGACUUGAUCCUUUAGUGGCGCAGCUAACGCGAUAAGUAGACCGCCUGGGGAGUACGGUCGCAAGAUUAAAACUCAAAUGAAUUGACGGGGGCCCGCACAAGCGGUGGAGCAUGUGGUUUAAUUCGAAGCAACGCGAAGAACCUUACCUACUCUUGACAUCCAGUGAACUUUUGAGAGAUCAAUUGGUGCCUUCGGGAACACUGAGACAGGUGCUGCAUGGCUGUCGUCAGCUCGUGUUGUGAAAUGUUGGGUUAAGUCCCGUAACGAGCGCAACCCUUGUCCUUAGUUACCAUCAUUAAGUUGGGGACUCUAAGGAGACUGCCGGUGGCAAACCGGAGGAAGGCGGGGACGACGUCAAGUCAUCAUGGCCCUUACGAGUAGGGCUACACACGUGCUACAAUGGCAUGUACAAAGGGUUGCCAAGCCGCGAGGUGGAGCUAAUCCCAUAAAGCAUGUCGUAGUCCGGAUUGGAGUCUGCAACUCGACUCCAUGAAGUCGGAAUCGCUAGUAAUCGUGAAUCAGAAUGUCACGGUGAAUACGUUCCCGGGCCUUGUACACACCGCCCGUCACACCAUGGGAGUGGGUUGCUCCAGAAGUAGAUAGCUUAACCUUCGGGAGGGCGUUUACCACGGAGUGAUUCAUGACUGGGGUGAAGUCGUAACAAGGUAGCCGUA
rnacentral:rRNA from 1 species